UAGGGAAUCUUCCGCAAUGGGCGAAAGCUUGACGGAGCAACGCCGCGUGAGUGAUGAAGGUCUUCGGAUCGUAAAACUCUGUUAUUAGGGAAGAACAAAUGUGUAAGUAACUAUGCACGUCUUGACGGUACCUAAUCAGAAAGCCACGGCUAACUACGUGCCAGCAGCCGCGGUAAUACGUAGGUGGCAAGCGUUAUCCGGAAUUAUUGGGCGUAAAGCGCGCGUAGGCGGUUUUUUAAGUCUGAUGUGAAAGCCCACGGCUCAACCGUGGAGGGUCAUUGGAAACUGGAAGACUGGAGUGCAGAAGAGGAAAGUGGAAUUCCAUGUGUAGCGGUGAAAUGCGCAGAGAUAUGGAGGAACACCAGUGGCGAAGGCGACUUUCUGGUCUGUAACUGACGCUGAUGUGCGAAAGCGUGGGGAUCAAACAGG
rnacentral:rRNA from 1 species